GAUGAACGCUGGCGGCGUGCCUAAUACAUGCAAGUCGAGCGAACAGACGAGGAGCUUGCUCCUCUGACGUUAGCGGCGGACGGGUGAGUAACACGUGGAUAACCUACCUAUAAGACUGGGAUAACUUCGGGAAACCGGAGCUAAUACCGGAUAACAUGUUGAACCGCAUGGUUCAACAGUGAAAGACGGUCUUGCUGUCACUUAUAGAUGGAUCCGCGCCGCAUUAGCUAGUUGGUAAGGUAACGGCUCACCAAGGCAACGAUGCGUAGCCGACCUGAGAGGGUGAUCGGCCACACUGGAACUGAGACACGGUCCAGACUCCUACGGGAGGCAGCAGUAGGGAAUCUUCCGCAAUGGGCGAAAGCCUGACGGAGCAACGCCGCGUGAGUGAAGAAGGUCUUCGGAUCGUAAAACUCUGUUAUUAGGGAAGAACAAAUGUGUAAGUAACUAUGCACGUCUUGACGGUACCUAAUCAGAAAGCCACGGCUAACUACGUG
rnacentral:rRNA from 1 species